rnacentral:lncRNA from 1 species
UAAUUUCUUACAUGACAAGAAGUAUUGAACUCUCAGUUCUUAAUUAGAUUUACUAACAAUUUUUUUUACAUAUAAAAAGAAAUAAUGACGUGUAUAUAUAUAUAUAUAUAUAUAUAUAUAUAUCACUUGUUCUUUCUAACACUAUCAGCUUUCCUCAAAGUUUUAGCUAUCAACUUCUGAGCUUUGUGGUGCUUCAUAUCCAUUCUUGAGCUCUCAGUCUUUUCAAUUUUGUUAUAUAAAUUCUUGGAUUUAAAGAUUUUAAGUCUAGAUUUGACAGCAGCAAUCAAUUUCACUAAUCUUGUCAUAUUAACAGACACUUAAAUUGUUGAAUCUUCCGGUCUCGACUCGGAUCACCUCGUUAAAUAUGUUUAAAACGUGACUUAAAACUGACCUAUCAUACCACUUGGCUGCAUUGUCAAGGAAAAAAACAAAAGGAGAAGAAGAAGUUAUAACCACAAGAACAAAAAACGAAAGAGACAAUUAUUAAGGAAAAAAACAAAAGGAGAAGAAGAAGUUAUAACCACAAGAACAAAAAACGAAAGAGACAAUUGAAAGAGAGAGUGUCUGAAAUCCUAGACAAAGGACAAAGGACAAAGGACAUCAAUGAAGAAAGAAGAACAAGAAUUUAUAUGGAAGAGGAAAAAAACUCACAUGUUAAUAUUCUCAAUGUAGAAAACUUAUAAAGUCUAAGUAAUGAG